GAGCGAAGCGAGAGAACGUUGCGCCAGCAACGGCCCGCAGGGCGAGCCACGCAGUGGCGAGUCAUCCUCUAUCACCGGCAG
rnacentral:sRNA from 1 species